UACAGAGGUCUCAAGCGUUGUUCGGAUUCAUUGGGCGUAAAGGGUGCGUAGGCGGCGCAGCAAGUCGGGAGUGAAAGCCUGGGGCUCAACCCCGGGUCGGCCGUGCGAACUGGGGGGCUUGAGCACUGUAGAGGCAGGCGGAAUUCCGGGUGUAGCGGUGGAAUGCGUAGAGAUCCGGAAGAACACCGGUGGCGAAGGCGGCCUGCUGGGCAGUUUUGCUGACACUGAGGCGCGACAGCGUGGGGAGCAAACAGG
rnacentral:rRNA from 1 species